UACGAAGGGGGCUAGCGUUGCUCGGAAUUACUGGGCGUAAAGGGCGCGUAGGCGGGUCGUUUAGUUAGAGGUGAAAGCCCAGGGCUCAACCCUGGAAUUGCCUUUAAUACUGGCGGCCUUGAGUAUGGCAGAGGUGUGUGGAACUCCGAGUGUAGAGGUGAAAUUCGUAGAUAUUCGGAAGAACACCAGUGGCGAAGGCGACACACUGGGCCAUUACUGACGCUGAGGCGCGAAAGCUAGGGGAGCAAACGGG
rnacentral:rRNA from 1 species